UACGUAGGGGGCGAGCGUUGUCCGGAUUUAUUGGGCGUAAAGAGCGUGUAGGCGGCCAGGUAGGUCUGCUGUGAAAACUCGAGGCUCAACCUCGAGACGUCGGCGGAAACCAUCUGGCUAGAGUCCGGAAGAGGAGAGUGGAAUUCCUGGUGUAGCGGUGAAAUGCGCAGAUAUCAGGAAGAACCCCCGUGGCGAAGGCGGCUCUCUGGGACGGUACUGACGCUGAGACGCGAAAGCGUGGGGAGCGAACAGG
rnacentral:rRNA from 1 species